rnacentral:ncRNA from 1 species
CAAAGGUUUGGUCCUGGCCUUACCCUCAACUUUUCCUAAAUUUACACAUGCAAGUAUCCGCACUCCCGUGAGAAUGCCCCCCAGUUCCCCUUUCGGGAACAAGGAGCCGGUAUCAGGCACACCCUUCCCCUCAGCCCAAGACACCUUGCUUAGCCACACCCCCAAGGGAACUCAGCAGUGAUAAACAUUAAGCCAUAAGUGAAAGCUUGACUUAGUUAAUGGAAAACCAGGGCCGGUUAAAACUCGUGCCAGCCACCGCGGUUAUACGGGAUUUGGCCCAAGUUGAUAGUACACGGCGUAAAGGGUGGUUAAGAAACCCAGGUUAAAAUAAAGCCGAACACCCCUCCUGCUGUCAUACGCAAUCGGGGUUAAAGAAGACCAAUUACGAAAGUAGCUUUACCCCUCCCCCCAUCCUGAACCCACGAAAGUUAUGAUACAAACUGGGAUUAGAUACCCCACUAUGCCUAACCCUAAACACUGAUAGUUUAUUACACCUACUAUCCGCCAGGGUACUACGAGCGUCAGCUUCAAACCCAAAGGACUUGGCAGUGCUUUAAACCCCCCUAGAGGAGCCUGUUCUAGAACCGAUAAUCCCCGUUAAACCUCACCCCUCCUUGCUCGUACCCCGCCUAUAUAUCUCCGUCGCCAGCUUACCCUGUGAAGGAUAAUAAGUAAGUACAACCGGUGGAACCCCACCCCCAACGUCAGGUCGAGAUGUAGCUUAUGGAGCGGAUAAGAAAUGGGCUACAUUCCCUGACAUAGGGAAUACGAACGAUAGUCUGAAACGCCUAUCCGAAGGUGGAUUUAGUAGUAAGCAGAAAAUAGAGUGUUCUGCUGAACUUGGCCCUAAAGCGUGUACACACCGCCCGUCACUCUCCCCAAGCUAUAAUUAAGAUCCAUAAUUAAUACCAGCCCCUGCAUAAGGGGAGGCAAGUCGUAACAUGGUAAGUGUACCGGAAGGUGUACUUGGACAAC